rnacentral:rRNA from 1 species
AGUGAACGCUGGCGGUAGGCCUAACACAUGCCAGUCGAACGGCAGCACAGUAAGAGCUUGCUCUUACGGGUGGCGAGUGGCGGACGUGUGAGGAAUACAUCGGAAUCUACUUUUUCGUGGGGGAUAACGUAGGUAAACUUACGCUAAUACCGCAUACGACCUACGGGUGAAAGCAGGGGAUCUUCUGACCUUGCGCGAUUGAAUGAGCCGAUGUCGGAUUAGCUAGUUGGCGGGGUAAAGGCCCACCAAGGCGACGAUCCGCAGCUGGUCUGAGAGGAUGAUCAGCCACACUGGAGCUGAGACACGGUCCAGACUCCUACGGGAGGGAGCAGUGGGGAAUAUUGGACAAUGGGCGCAAGCCUGAUCCAGCCAUACCGCGUGGGUGAAGAAGGCCUUCGGGUUGUAAAGCCCUUUUGUUGGGAAAGAAAAGCAGCAGGUUAAUACCCCGCUGUUCUGACGGUACCCAAAGAAUAAGCACCGGCUAACUUCGUG